rnacentral:rRNA from 1 species
GAAUUCGCCCUUAGAGUUUGAUCCUGGCUCAGGAUGAACGCUAGCGGCGGGCCUAAUACAUGCAAGUCGAGGGGCAGCAGUACUUUUCGGAGUAGCUGGCGACCGGCGCACGGGUGCGUAACGCGUAUGCAAUCUACCCACUGCAGAGGGAUAGCCCGUGGAAACAUGGAUUAAUACCUCAUAAUACAGGGAGCCCACCUGGGCAUAUUGUUAAAGCUCCGGCGGCAGUGGAUGAGCAUGCGUCCCAUUAGUUAGUUGGUACGGUAACGGCGUACCAAGACGAUGAUGGGUAGGGGUUCUGAGAGGAUGAUCCCCCACACUGGUACUGAGACACGGACCAGACUCCUACGGGAGGCAGCAGUAGGGAAUAUUGGUCAAUGGACGCAAGUCUGAACCAGCCAUGCCGCGUGCAGGAAGACGGCCUUCUGGGUUGUAAACUGCUUUUCUCAGGGAAGAAAACGCUCUUGCGAGAGUACUUGCCGGUACCUGAGGAAUAAGCACCGGCUAACUCCGUGCCAGCAGCCGCGGUAAUAAGGGCG